rnacentral:rRNA from 1 species
UACGUAGGUGGCGAGCGUUGUCCGGAAUUACUGGGUGUAAAGGGCGUGUAGGCGGGGCGCCAAGUCAGGUGUGAAAUUCCGGGGCUUAACUCCGGGUAUGCACCUGAAACUGGUACUCUUGAGUGUCGGAGAGGAAAGUGGAAUUCCCAGUGUAGCGGUGAAAUGCGUAGAGAUUGGGAGGAACACCAGUGGCGAAGGCGGCUUUCUGGACGAUAACUGACGCUGAGGCGCGAAAGCGUGGGGAGCAAAC